rnacentral:rRNA from 1 species
GACAGAGGCCUCAAGCGUUAGGCGGAAUCACUGGGCUUAAAGCGUGUGUAGGCGGAUCGUUAAGUGUCUUGUGAAAUCCCACGGCUCACCCGUGGAACUGCUGGGCAUACUGGCGAUCUUGGGCCAACUAGGGGCAACUGGAACAAGCGGUGGAGCGGUGAAAUGCGUAGAUAUCGCUUGGAACGCCGAAGGUGAAAACAGGUUGCUGGGGUUGUGCCGACGCUGAGACACGAAAGCCAGGGGAGCGAAUGGG